CAGCAGUAGCCGCGGUAAUACAGAGGGUGCGAGCGUUAAUCGGAUUUACUGGGCGUAAAGCGUGCGUAGGCGGCUUCUUAAGUCGGAUGUGAAAUCCCUGAGCUUAACUUAGGAAUUGCAUUCGAUACUGGGAAGCUAGAGUAUGGGAGAGGAUGGUAGAAUUCCAGGUGUAGCGGUGAAAUGCGUAGAGAUCUGGAGGAAUACCGAUGGCGAAGGCAGCCAUCUGGCCUAAUACUGACGCUGAGGUACGAAAGCAUGGGGAGCAAACAGGAUUAGAUACCCCCGUAGUCCCUGUCUCUUAUAA
rnacentral:rRNA from 1 species